rnacentral:rRNA from 1 species
UUCCGGUUGAUCCUGCCGGAGGCUACCGCUAUUGGAGUUCGAUUAAGCCAUGCGAGUCGAGAGUCUUAGGGACUCGGCGUACCGCUCAGUAACACGUGGGUAACCUGCCCUAUGCUGGGGAAUAACCUCGGGAAACUGAGAAUAAUGCCCCAUAGUCCACCAUGCCUGGAACGGUUGGUGGAUCAAAGCUCCGGCGGCAUAGGAUGGGCCUGCGGCGUAUCAGGUCGUAGGGGGUGUAACGUACCCUCUAGCCAUCGACGCGUACGGGUGUUGGGAGACAUAGCCCGGAGAUGGAUUCUGAGACACGAAUCCAGACCCUACGGGGUGCAGCAGGCGCGAAAACUUGGCAAUGCGAGAAAUCGUGACCAGGGAACUCCAAGUGGCUGGGGUAAGACCCAGUCUUUUCUUGACUCUUCAACGGUCUUGGAAUAAGGGGUGGGUAAGGACGGUGCCAGCCGCCGCGGUAAUACCGGCGCCUCAAGUGGUAGUCGAUUUUAUUGGGCCUAAAACGUCCGUAGCCUGUUUGGUACAUUCGUGGGUAAAUCAACCAGCUCAACUGAUUGAAUUCUGCGAGCACGGCCAGACUUGGGACCGGGAGAGGUGUGGGGUACGCUCAGGGUAGGGGUAAAAUCCUGUCAUCCUGAGCGGACCACCUGUUGCGAAGGCGCCACACUAGAACGGAUCCGACGGUCAGGGACGAAGCCUAGGGGCACGAACCGGAUUAGAUACCCGGGUAGUCCUAGGUGUAAACGCUGUGGACUUGGUGUUGGGGAAGACUAGAGCUUUCCCAGUGCCGUAGCGAAGGUGUUGAGUCCACUGCCUGGGGAGUACGGUCGCAAGGCUGAAACUUAAAGGAAUUGGCGGGGGAGCACUGCAACCGGAGGAUUGUGCGGUUUAAUUGGAGUCAACGCCGGA